GAUGAACGCUGGCGGCGUGCCUAAUACAUGCAAGUCGAGCGAAGCGGGCACGGGUGAGUAUCACGUGGAAACACCCCCAUAUCACUGGGGUAACAUCGUGAAACCGGAGCUAAACCCGACACUUAUAGAUUGAUUCGCGCUGGAUUAGCUAGUUGGUAAGGUAACGGCUUACCAAGGCAACGAUGCAUGGCCGACCUGAGAGGUGGAUCGGCCACACUGGAACUGAGACACGGUCAAGACUCCUACGGGAGGCAGCAGUGGGGAAUCUUCCGCAAUGGGCGAAAGCCUGACGGAGCAACGCCGCGUGGGUGAUGAAGGUCUUCGGAUCGUAAAACUCUGUUAUUAGGGAAGCGGUACCUAAUCAGAAAGCCACGGCUAACUACGUGCCAGCAGCCGCGGUAAUAC
rnacentral:rRNA from 1 species